AUUUGAUCUGAAAUCAGGCGGGGAUUACCCGCUGAACUUAA
rnacentral:rRNA from 1 species